rnacentral:snRNA from 1 species
AGAUGUAAGGGUGAUCUGGUUUUAACAUCUCUCACCCCACUCAUCACCAGGGUGGAUUCGGUUCAUCUGGCUGGAUAGGCAGAUGUCUCCUUCCUCCCUCACUGCUCCAUGUGCGUCCCUUCAGAAGCUGCUCGGUCAGAGAAGACGAAAAUGAGCCGACACAAACCCUAGAAUAUUUUAUCUGUCCACCCUAGUCACUCUUUAAGACAAAUAAGAUUAUUUUAUCAAUAGUUAAAGGGUCCUUUGAAGGAAGUGCCAAACUUCUAUAACAACUGCAAUCAUAAAGCUAAUCACAAAAGCUAUUAUUAUUAUUUUU